UACGUAGGGGGCUAGCGUUGUCCGGAAUCAUUGGGCGUAAAGCGCGUGUAGGCGGUCCGGUAAGUCCGCUGUGAAAGUCGGGGGGCUCAACCCUCGAAUGCCGGUGGAUACUGUCGGGCUAGAGUGCGGAAGAGGCGAGUGGAAUUCCUGGUGUAGCGGUGAAAUGCGUAGAUAUCAGGAGGAACACCGGUGGCGAAGGCGCACAUCUGGCCCGAUACUGACGCUGAGGCGCGAAAGCUAGGGGAGCAAACGGG
rnacentral:rRNA from 1 species